rnacentral:tRNA from 1 species
UGGAUGGUAGCUCAGUUGGUUAGAGCAUCUGCCUGAUGAGCAGGAGGUCGUGAGUUCAAAUCCCACUCAUCCAA